rnacentral:rRNA from 1 species
AUGGCGUGGGCGGCGCUGAGGCCGGUGGUGAAGGCGUGCAUCGGCGGCUCCCUCAUCGGCAUCACCGUCUCCGACCGCUACUUCUCCGUCGCCGCCGUCCACGGCGGCUCCAUGCGCCCCACCUUGGACGGCACCACAGCAGACGGACGCGAGUACGCGGUGGUGAAGCGGAGCCCCCUCUACGACUACUCCCGCGGCGAGGUCGUCGUCUUCGUGUCGCCGGCGGACCACCGGAGCAGGACGAUCAAGAGGCUGAUUGGGCUGCCCGGCGACUGGAUCAGCGUCCCGGACAAGGAGGAGAUCCGGCAGAUUCCGGAGGGCCACUGCUGGGUGGAAGGGGACAAUGGCAGCGCCAGCUGGGACUCGAGAUCCUACGGCCCUGUGCCGCUUGGUCUGGUGCAGGGGAGGGUGACACACGUGGUGUGGCCACCCAGCAAGAUGGGCCGCGUCGACAAGAGGGUGCCGCCGGAAGGAAGGGUCAUGCCGCAGCGAAAUCUCUAG